rnacentral:rRNA from 1 species
UCUAUAGUCUAAUUAAGUAGUGAUUUCUAAAAAACUCGAGGCUUAAAGAAAAUCGUAUUUCCUUUAAAUUAUAAUAAAGCUUGGCUCUGACUUAAAAAUAUAACAAGAACAAAAAAAUACACAUGGUUUUUUUUGAGAGAGGUGAGGUGAAAAAGUUUAAUAUACAAGAACAGAAAUUUUUUAUGUAUUAACUUUUUAAAGUAUUAUAGAAGAUACAAUGCUUUGCAACGUCCCACUAACACCAGUGUUUGAUAUUAAUAAAGGAUGAAAGUCUGUAUUAGAUUAGUUUUAGUUCAGAUUUGGUUAACUUGGUGCCAGCAUCCGCGGUUACACCAAGAAAUCAAGUUAUAUCCACAGGGUAAAAAGACAGUUAGGUAGAUUAAAAGUUCUGUUAUUCUUUGUUUAGAGGUGGAAUUCGAGCAUAAAGAUAUAUUUCAAUAAGAUCUAAAUUAUACUGAAUCUGUGAUAGUCUUGAGGGAAACUGGGAUUAGAUAUCCCAUUAUUCUUGAUUGUAAAUUAAUUUUGUUUACCAGAGUACUAUGAAUAAAUAUAAUUUAAAACUCAAAGGGCUUGGCGGUGCUUUAGACCACUCAGGGGAACCUGUCUCAUAAUCGACAAUCCACGAUACACCUAACCUUUUAUAGUUUAUCAGUAUGUAUACCGUCGUCGUCAGGUAACUUUCAAAAAGAAAAAAGUUAGCAACAACAAAUCAUAAUUUUAAACGUCAGAUCAAGGUGCAGCUAAUAAAAAGGUGAAGAUGGGUUACAAUUAAAAUUUAUAAUACGAAUUUAAAUCUGAAAUAUUUGGUUUUCUGAAGGCGGACUUGAAAGUAAAAUUCAUAAGAUAAAUCUUUUGAAUGCGGCUCUGAAGCGUGCACACAUCGCCCGUCGCUCUCGUUGAGAAAUGAGAUAAGUCGUAACAUAGUAGGGGUAAUGGAAAUUGUCCCUGGAAUAGA